AGAGAGUGUGUGUGUGUGUGUGUGUGUGUGUGUGUGUGUGUGUGUGUGUGUGUGUGUGAGUGUGUGUGUGUGUGUGUGUGUGUGUGUGUGUGUUAGAGCUGAGUUCGUAGCAAACAUAUGUGACUGCCUUAUGUAGAAGACAGAUUGUUCUCCUGCUGUACGGAGCUGAAGGACUUCAGGACGGCCAGCCAAUCACACGAGGGCUGAUAUUCCCAUCGCUAUUCCAGAGAACAGAGAAGAACGCCGUCGGUGGAGAUGUUCACAGACAUGUUCACAGACGUGUUCACAGACGUGUUCAGGUGUGUGGGAAAGACACACUCUGAGUUUCCACGGCAGAGUAAAAAACUGGUCGACAGUCGACUUCAGCUGCAGGAGUGUCCACACACACACACACACACACACACACACACACACACACACACACACACACACAGUCAGGACUGACUCGGACACCUUUGCUCAGCAGGAUGUCAUGUUGCCAUGGUACCGCCCUGACUUACUCUUAUUACAAACACGUUUAAACGGAUUUCAGGUUUUUAACAAGCAAACGACUAAUUCUGGAGACCAGAGGAGCUGAGAACUUUCUGCUGCUGCACUGUCUCAGAGCUGGAGGACGGACGAGCAGCAGGACGAUAAACGAGUCCAUUUAUAAAUGAAGGAAGUGAGACAAACUAACGCUGUAACUGAGACAAGAGAGCCAUACUUAAUUUCCCUCAAUAUCAAUAUAAAACAUGGUCAAUAUUCUUUUCAAUAGUCGUCAUUCUGACAUGUUUUGGUCGACUAUACUAACAGCCAAUGAAAAGGGGAGUGUCUCCGGGUCUGAACCAAUCAUGUUCUGAAUUAGAACCAAGUAUCAACCAACUGCAAAGUGGUAGCAGACAGCAGCUCCACCCAACCAUAGCACUUUAACAGGUGAAGCCGACAGCACUGAUGUUGUUCACGAUGUACGGUGAGUGACGAAGGAGUCCUGCUGUGAGGUCUGGACUAACACCCGCCCGGCACACACAGGAUUUCCCAUCAGAACCGAGUCCAACUGUCCAAACCAAAACUCUCACCGACUCUGAAGUCAAACGACAAAAACACAUCAAAUACAGGAAACACGAACUGAGCAUGUGCCAAAAUGAGGCGCCGACGUCUGCAGACGUGAUGAAGGUUCAGGUACGGGCUGCAUGAUAUAUCGUUUGAUCGUCGUCAUGGCGAUGUAUUUGUGCGCGAUAGUCACAUGUCAGAGCCUGCGAUGUCGGAGGUGAAUGAACUCGUCUAGUUUCAAGUGUUGCUGACAUACACUAUAUGUGACUCUAUAUGUGCUGUGCAGCGAUCCACCAAUCACAUUCAUUCUUUACUCAGUUGCUACCCUGCCAGCCGUCAAUCAAAAUCAGAGAGGAGGAAACCACGCCCCUGCACAUGGAGUGAGUCGCUGACGCUGCCGGUGUUGUUCCGAGAAACGCCGAGAAUGACUUUGUGAACAUUCCUCAUCACUGUUUAUCCCACAAAUAGGAACUGUACGGGUUUGAAAUCAUACUUUCUGUGGACCACCCUAAUAUAAGAGGUGUUUCUGUGAGGUGGAUGCAAUUCUAGGGGGGCAUACCUUUCUCAGCACAACAACAACGAUUGUAAAAUGAGAAACAAACAAGAGAAAACCACCGAAGAUGAAGACUUGUUUCAGUUAUCUGGAAUUAUUUCAGUUAUAAGAAGGAUGAUGUCGACUAAAACAUCUGUUCUGUGUUCAUCUGUUUCCACAAUAACGUCCAGAACAAUAAAAACUAAAAUUAUCUCUGAGACAGACAGAAGACAGUCUACUAACAUUCACUAAGAGAGGGAAGAUCAGAGCAGGUUAACUGUCCUCAAGACUUCAGCAGAAACUCAGAUUCAGGUCAUCUGAGGAGGAAAAUUCAUCGAUUUUUUAACAUCACAGGGUUGAAAAAAAUCACAAUGUUAGUUUUUUUUCUAAUAUGGUGCAGCUUUAGCUCAGGUUAUCUACUCUGACCACUUCAACAUCUGGAUCUCCAGGACCAGGACCCUCCUGAUGGAUUUUAGCACAAACAGAGAACCCAAAGGACCCAUCGUCUCCUGCUCCAGAAAAGGCGGUCUAAAGUGAAUCCAGGAACCGCUCAUGGUGGUUUUAUCUCCUCCCUCUGCAGAAACCAGAGGCCAUCUUUUCAACACGCUAAAUUGAUUUCUUUUGAAGACGUUCACGUCACGCACAGAGAGGAAGCUUUCACGGUUCAAACAUUUCAAGAUCCCGACUAAAAGGUCCGCCAAGAAAAGGGGUCAUGCUUUGUAAACAGUAAGUGCAGCGCUUUCACCGCCAGAACAACCAACAAGCCCCCGAGCCUUCGGUCAAGGUCCCGCACGGCACGCCACGUCUGAGGGGAACCAGGACUUCACAAAAGGUUGCUUUCAGCGCCGGCGAAGGACAGCAUCCUCAGAAUUCACUCAGACACGAGAGCCGGGCGAGCGCGGGAACACGGCGCCAACAUCGCAGGGGUUCAGAAGAUUUCAGAGAGCGCUUUUACAACCAAGAAACCUGCUUCAGGAAAUCAAUGACAUCAGAGCGACGCGCCCACCUGUGAGCGUAAUUACAGACCAAGGCCGCCGCUCGCAGACCGACCCGUCUCUCCACUAACAGCCUCUUUUUCUUGGCGUUGUGGCGGGGUGGCGGCCCUUCGGCUCAGACGGCGCAGAUUAGUUUUAGCCUUCAGCUCAUCCCUCACAAAAAAAAAAGGAAAGGUUGAGAAUUCUUACAAAAACGGCGCCGCACUCAAAUGGGUUUAUUAUUAUCUGAUGCUGACAGCCAACGCCACGGAAAGCAUCAACAAAGAGCUGCGAGCGAAAUCCAAACGCCAUAUGCUUCACGGAUGUGAACACAAACUAAAGUGGCAGGUGCAUCAACAGAACUGUGCCGUCCUGACAUCCCAACAGCCCAGAACAAACAGAGAAUCUCUAAACAGCAGACUGACUCAUUUGCAGGCGCCGAGUGUUGAUGCAUAUGGAGAGGCAGCGAGGAGGAGGAGGAGGAGCGAGGAGGAGGAGGAGGAGCAGGAGCAGCGUUCAGAGAGGAGGUCUCUCCACGUGUAAAUCAGUGAGGCUGGAACAUGAGAGCUGCUGUGUCACACUGCUGCUUUGUCUGCUCCUCUCUCCGUCCACCAUCCACUCCCCGAGACCGAGGAGGAGGAGGAGGAGGAGGAGGAGGAGGAGGAGGAGGAGGAGGAGGCUGCUGCUGGGAACACUGCCAACGACAUGCAAACCGUGACUGGGCAAACACGGCUCUGCAGGCCGUGUUCUGCUGCAGCUGACUGCAGAACCAGCUCUCAGGCUCUAAAUCAACGUGUCGACCACAGCUGAGCGCAGAGUUAACGCUGUUAGUCAGCAUCUAUUCACUCUAGUUCUAUUCACUCAUCCAGGUUAACCUUCUCGGUGUCAUCGCCCAGAUUUCCCUCAUGGGGCUGAAGACGGUAAACCACUGAGGUCUUCAGUUCAUGACGAGGAUCAUUAUCUCAACAGAAAAACUGAUUCCCUCAAAGGUUCAGGAUUCAAGAGAAACUAUUAUUGACCGAAUCAAUAAACGGAGAAUUCAUCAAUAACUGAAUUCAUAACUAAUCGAUCCUCUCAGUCAUUCGUCAAACCGAGGUGUCGCUUCGUUCUUCAGCCUGUUUAACGUUUUUGAUUCUCCAAAUAUCAGGAGAGAGCCGAGCAGAAAACCAGACCAUGAAAACAACCCUGACCCCCGACCUCCACCUUCAUCCUGAUCGUCUCCUAAAAGGUCGUAUCCUCCGAUCGUAGCUGAUCGUAACCAUUCAAGUUAACGUGUCAAUUUACACCGACUUCUUUCCAUCGGACGCCGGAGCAUGGCGGAUAAAUUCAGCACAGAUUAACCCGUGCUGGAAAGGAAGUCGGGCACAGACACAAAAUAAAACAUCCGGCUUCUUUUCAAAAUAAAACACUCCGUGUUUCAGGAGGAUCGUAUUUCACACCAUGCAAACGGGCGGAGACGAACAAGUGAAAGGUUUUUAGACGUCAUUUCACCCCGAUGACACCAUGGAUGAGGAGAUGCUGAUUCUAGAAGUCUAGAAGUAGAUUUCCUCCUCUGGAAGGACACCAUCUACUGCUUAUAUGUCUAUGUGUCUGUCUUUAGAGAGACAACUUGUUAUCGUGAGAUUGAACGUGAAUCUGCAGGUUCUUGUGAGUUCUCACGAUUCCUGCUGUCUGUAAUCCGCCUCGAAAUUCGCUUCACAGACCGAUCCAGUGGGGAUUGGCGGACGGCGAAAAUCGAUGCUGUUUCGGAUGCGGUAAAAAUUUUCCUCCAGAAGUUAAAAAACCAAAACAUGUUGGAGAUGAAAAACUUUAAAUCGUUAAUAUAGUAAAAAGUUUGAUGGGGGAUGUUCUGGAUGGUUCUGGGAUCAUUUCCUGUCCUUCGUCUACAGUCUCAAUCUAAUCUAAUCUAAUCUAAUCUGAUCUAAUCUAAUCUAAUCUAAUCUAAUCUAACGUCUCCUCACUUAAGUCCAUUUUAACCUUUUUCUUCUGUUUAGAUUCAGACACUUGUCGCAUGGCGAGGACUGAUUCAACCACACGAGUCGACCACAGACCAUCACCACUGUGACCAUCACUCAAUCAUUAACCAGGAGAGUCCUCUUCCUCCGCACGCCUCUAUCCUUGAGAAAUCUCAAUCCCUAUCAGCUCCAGGAAUGCGGCUCUGCGCCCCUGACCUCUGACCCCAGCGUGGAGGAGGAUUUCCCUCUCGGCGUCAGUGAAGCUCCACGCUCUCCUUUCCUUAUUUACAUGUAAUCUCCUCUGCGAGUCCCUGCGAGGCUUUCCUUCAAUCAACCUCCAAUCAGAAAACUGAACCGUUAACGAACAUGAGGGUUCGAAUCUGAAGAUCAACGCUAACUUGAUUAUGGCGCCGGUGAGACCGCCGUUUCUACACCUGAGGAUUUGUCUACUUAGCUCUUCAUCCUGCGAGUCUGCCGCUCUCCUCCGAGGUACCCCAACACAUCUGUUUACUUAGUGUGUGUGUGUGUGUGUGUGUGUGUGUGUGUACAGGAGGCGGAGUCUGUGAGGAACUUGAGGUCUCUGAGGCCGAGAGCCUCUGAAACCCUCCUGGGAGGCAGCCGGCCGUGCGCCAAAUCUGUUAUUGCGAUGACUUCUGACAGCCGCAGCAGC
rnacentral:lncRNA from 1 species